CUUUCCCUCUUUCUUCAGGCCUAACACAUGCAAGUCGAGCGGAUGCAGGGUGAUUGCUCGCGGAUUCGGGGGCGGAGUGGUGAGCAAGGGCUAGAAAUCUGGGAAUCUGUGUGUGAUAACGUCAGAAAACGGGCGCACAUACGGCAUAAGUGCAGAGGGCGUACGUGUGAAAGCAGGGGAUCUUCGGACCUUGGGUGAGCCAAGGAGCCGAUGUCGGAUUAGCUAGUUGGUGGGGUAAAGGCCCACCAAGGCGACGAUCCGUAGCUGGUCUGAGAGGAUGAUCAGUCACACUGGAACUGAGACACGGUCCAGACUCCUACGGGAGGCAGCAGUGGGGAAUAUUGGACAAUGGGCGAAAGCCUGAUCCAGCCAUGCCGCGUGUGUGAAGAAGGUCUUCGGAUUGUAAAGCCCUUUUGUUGGGGAAGAAGGGCAGUAAGUUAAUACCUCGCUGUUUUGACGUUACCCAAAGAAUAAGCACCGGCUAACUUCGUG
rnacentral:rRNA from 1 species